UACGUAGGGGGCUAGCGUUGUCCGGAUUUAUUGGGCGUAAAGAGCGUGUAGGCGGCCAGGUAGGUCUGGUGUGAAAACUCGAGGCUUAACCUCGAGAUGUCAUCGGAAACCAUCUGGCUAGAGUCCGGAAGAGGAGAGUGGAAUUCCUGGUGUAGCGGUGAAAUGCGCAGAUAUCAGGAAGAACACCAAUGGCGAAAGCAGCUCUCUGGGACGGUACUGACACUGAGACGCGAGAGCGUGGGGAGCGAACAGG
rnacentral:rRNA from 1 species